GAGAAUAGGUUUCUGUUGCCUUAAGCUGCCUGGUGUAUGGUAAUCUGUUAUGGCAACCCUGGAAACAAAUACAGAGAGGAUGAACAUUUACAGGAAAACUCAUCCUCAGCAAUCAGAAAGAAACUUCCCUUCACCAUAAUGCCUGAUGACUCAGAGGACAUUUUUCUCGCCCUGAAAUAAUCUAUUGAGAUUGACCCUGUGAAGGAUGUAUUAUUAAGCACGCUGCUCAGAAAAGGACACCGAAGCUCAGAGAAGGCCUUUGAGAAUCAAAAUGGAUCACAUGGGAGCCUGUGAACCACAGCACAUUCGACCAUCAACCCACCAUUUCCCCCCAGAAGUGUCAGAGUUGAGAGUGAGCUGGGUAUACAAGAAGAAGGUGCAAGGCAUCAGGGAAGUCACUGAAGCAGGACAAAGACACUAGAGAAGCCAGUAUUAGAAGAUGAAGUGGCACCCCAAAGAAAGAAAAAGAUAAACCGUCAGAGGAGAUAGGGAUUGGAACAGAAUAAAAGAUAAAGAACUUCCUUCUCCAAGAGCUCUGUUGGACUACCAGGUCUCCCUCUCCCAUGAAACCACUGUUGCUAGUUUCCUGUAUAUCCUUCAAGUAACAAUCAAUGUGUGGACAAGAGGAGCAUUCUAUAAAAGUGAGUGAGCAUCAGUUAUGCACCUAGCCUUGUGCUAGACAUUGAGAAAUCAAAUACAGUGAUGAUGGCCCCAGAAGAUCGCAGUGGGGAAGACAGACUAGAAAAGAGGUUUCUCUUCUUAGAUCUUCAUCUCAGAGGCGGCACCACCACCCGCUCUCAGCCAAGCCAGGGAUCCAGAAGCCCUUCCAGGUCAGCCCAAUGCCUCACUUCCCACCCACUUCCCCUGUUGUUGGCUUCUUUUUACUUGCUGGUUCUAUAUCUUCUCAGCCUGCAAAAGCAGGUCAGCCUCUCAAGUGAUCUUUCUACAUCUUUCCUUUUUUGUUUUUCCGUAUCCCUAAAAUAUUUACCACCCCAUGGGCACAGGGAGCUUCAUAAAUUAGUGCAAGUCUAAUUCUAUCAUUUCUAUUUAAAAUUCCUGAGUGGCUCCCUGUGGUUCCCAAGAUAAAAUUUCCAAGAUAAAACAAAAUUGUAUAAUGCUUUUGUGGUCUGACCCCUGCCUGAUGCCCCAGCCCCCAAAUCUCACUUCUUUCCCAUCUACCGCUCAGGGAAGGCACCAUGCGCUUUCUCUCAAAUCAGAGUGUUUGAAUGUGCUGCUUCUUUUAUCUGAAUUACUUGUAUCUUCUUUGCCAGCUUGGUUCCUUCUUGUCCUUAAGCCCAUCCAAGAUAUCACCUCCUUCAGGAAGGUUCCUCUGCUGCCCCAGGCUGGAUCAAACAGCCAACUGUUCCAAAAAUACUUGGUGUGUCUCCCCAUCACAGCACUUGAUAUGCUGAAUUGUCAUUUUCUGUUUGCGUGUCAACCCUUUUUCUAGACUAUAACUCUUACAGGCCAGGAACAGCAAUGUAUUGAGCUCUAAUGCAUAUCAGGGACUGUUCUAGGCUCUUCAUAUGCAGAAACUCAUACAGUCCUUCCAGGAAUCUGACAACAUGUUGUUUUGUUAUCUCUUACAGAGAUUAAGGCACUGAUGCAUUUAAAAGUUGGGUAUAGAACCGGGCAUCAUGGCACAUGCCUGUAAUCUCAGCACUUUGGGAGGCCGAGGCAGGUAGAUCACAAGGU